rnacentral:rRNA from 1 species
AGAGUUUGAUCCUGGCUCAGGAUGAACGCUAGCGACAGGCUUAACACAUGCAAGUCGAGGGGCAGCACAGGUAGCAAUACCGGGUGGCGACCGGCGCACGGGUGAGUAACGCGUAUGCAACUUACCUAUCAGAGGGGGAUAACCCGGCGAAAGUCGGACUAAUACCGCAUGAAGCAGGGGCCCCGCAUGGGGAUAUUUGCUAAAGAUUCAUCGCUGAUAGAUAGGCAUGCGUUCCAUUAGGCAGUUGGCGGGGUAACGGCCCACCAAGCCGACGAUGGAUAGGGGUUCUGAGAGGAAGGUCCCCCACAUUGGUACUGAGACACGGACCAAACUCCUACGGGAGGCAGCAGUGAGGAAUAUUGGUCAAUGGGCGCGAGCCUGAACCAGCCAAGUCGCGUGAGGGAUGAAGGUUCUAUGGAUCGUAAACCUCUUUUAUAAGGGAAUAAAGUGCGGGACGUGUCCCGUUUUGUAUGUACCUUAUGAAUAAGGAUCGGCUAACUCCGUGCCAGCAGCCGCGGUAAUACGGAGGAUCCGAGCGUUAUCCGGAUUUAUUGGGUUUAAAGGGUGCGUAGGCGGCCUUUUAAGUCAGCGGUGAAAGUCUGUGGCUCAACCAUAGAAUUGCCGUUGAAACUGGGGGGCUUGAGUAUGUUUGAGGCAGGCGGAAUGCGUGGUGUAGCGGUGAAAUGCUUAGAUAUCACGCAGAACCCCGAUUGCGAAGGCAGCCUGCCAAGCCAUGACUGACGCUGAUGCACGAAAGCGUGGGGAUCAAACAGGAUUAGAUACCCUGGUAGUCCACGCAGUAAACGAUGAUCACUAGCUGUUUGCGAUACAUUGUAAGCGGCACAGCGAAAGCGUUAAGUGAUCCACCUGGGGAGUACGCCCCAACGGUGAAACUCAAAUGAAUUGACGG